rnacentral:lncRNA from 1 species
CGCGGGGUGGCCGAGGCUCACCCCCGCGCAACGGAACUGUUGGUGCGCUCCGACGGCGCGGAAGCCUCCGCCGAGCGCCGCCUUCUGACAGGAGCAACCACCAUCAACAAGCCUACUGCCCACUGUGGGAGAAGUAACAGUUCUAUUGAUGCAUCUCAGUGGGGAUGAAUUUCAGAAACAGCACUGCAGCCUCACUUUCUCUUUAGAGAGGUAUCAACACACAUAUACAAGAUCCUGGAUUUGUGCAAGUCACACAGGGACAAAAAUUAAGUUUGACACACUGUGUCUAGUACUGACAGACAGCAGAAGAAAUGAUUUCCUUGAGCUACGUGCUGUAGCUUUUACUAUAGUCGGUUUUGAUUGUGGUUUAAGAACAGAUACUGUAUUUCUAGCAUAUACGUUGUUGCUACUCCAGUCCACAGGGAAGCUGAAAAUUUUCAUGCUUUUUGUGUGAGCUUUGUUAAAAGAUUUGAGAUGCUGAACAAACAAAUUUUUGCUAUUCAGUUAAACUUUAAUAUCCUGAGUAAGACAGCAAUGUGCUUAAUACAGAGGAACUUGCAAAGGUUUCUUAACAGAAAUCUUUCUCUGAAAAGGGAAUAGCAUGUCACUAUUGUUUUAUUGAAUCAGAUUUUCUAGUUCUCCUUUUCUGCGUAUUUAAGUAAGUACUGUUGGAGGCAUGAGGAGAAGACGAAAAUGAUUCAAACAGUAGAUUCUCACUUAAUAAUCAACUAUUUCCUGGAUCACAAGGGGUAUUUUUCCUAGGUAUUUAGUUAUGUAAAUAAAGCUCUGUGUAGUGCAAAAUCCUACAGUAAAAAUAAAUGCCUCAGAACAAUACCAGCAGUUUUCUAUUGUUCACCAGAUAUUACUCCUGGGGAUAAAAUCAAUUUGAGAUUUCCUGUGUUUUGUAUGAUAAGAAUCUCCUGUCUGUCCACAAACAGAUUACUUUUCACAACAUUACGAAUCAAUUAAUCAGUAAAAUGGACCAAACCAUGCAGACAGAUUAAACAAACUUUUCCUCAUCAUUUAAAAAAAUAAAUAAAAAUCUAUAUUUAAAGCAAUGGUGAAAUUUUUGACUGCAAAAUGUAUCUUAAUACACUGCAAGCAAUUGAACAGCCAUAGAAAGAUCAUCUCAAGAUUACUAGUCCUAUUUAAUAGUCCUAACAGUCAGGCAGAUGCAAUUCAUCUAUCACACCUCAGGCCAACUGAGGAGAAAGAAAUACAAAUUAAAACAAUCAAACAAAAAACAAAACAACAAAAGACAGCCUCUUAUUGUAUGCAAAAAGAUGGGACAAAUAGUAUUUUUCAAGUCACCAUUUUGUUAUUUGAGUUCGCACCAUUCCUUGAAAGCACUCUGUUUAGACUCCUUGUGAGUGUAAAUCAUUACUUUUGAGGAAAAAAUAAUGAGAAAAGAGAAAGAGGAACAUGGAAGUUUUUCAGAUUAAGGGCACGAUCCUGUUUCUGUUGGACAAAGUUCUUCUAAGUUCCAUGUUGCCUGCAUUUUGUGUGUCUGGAGAGUUUAAGGAAAGCCUGAAACAGUCCAAAUAGCAUGUAAAACCUUUGAGCUAUACCCUGUUUAAUAAUUCUUUCAACCCUAGUUGUAGCUGAAUCAAAUCAACAAUAACAGUAACUACAGGGCAUUCCUAUUUAUCUUAGGAGCCACCAUGUGCAUAUCUACUUAAGGAGCAGAUUCACAAAGGAAUUCAAGCCAACUUAAGCCUCAUUACUGAUUUAAGAAAGCAAAACAAAACUGCUGUCUUCUUUUUACCUCCAUGAAUCUGGCUCUGCUUCUCAAGUGGAUGUACAGUGUAACAUUGGCUGGAGAAAAGAACUGAGGCAUCUGAGAAUUAACCCUGUUAUUAAAAAGCAUUCCAGCUUACUGCUUGAACAGAGUUGCACCAAUAGAAGAAAGCAGUGGCUCAGGGCAGGAGCUUGGACCAGGCUUUGCAAAGGAAACCUAGGCUGUGAGUGACCUCAGCCAUCUGCAGAAACACCAGGAAGCUGAUGAAACCUUACUUGGCAUGAAAUGGGCAUGCAGGGACAACACAGAGGAUAUAACUUUGUCACUGUUUUGGUUUGGAUGAGAAGCAUGCAUGCUUUGGGUUCAUGUGAAGGAAUGAUUUUAGAUGUAACUGAACUAUAAAGUGCUUGCUAUGGGUGCAGUCAUUGUGUUCACUCAGUCCACAAGCCAAAAAGCAUCAGCUGAUCCAGUCUACAAAAUUCACUCCCAGGCUGCACUAAUUGCAGAUAUAGACAUAACUAUGCCUUCCAUCCUGGGGUUAACUUCAGUCAUUUACUGCUGCCUGCACUGAAAGCACUGCUGCUGUUUGCUCAGCCAAAAAUCUGACGACAGAGGGGCAGAGUAUGUGUAACUCUGUUUAUUAAUAUUUAUCUUUUCCCCACAAAUCUUCCUGCUGAAUGAAGGAAAUAUUACUUAUAUUCUGCUAUACUAUUGGAGUUCUGGAGAUGCACUCUCAUCUGAAGCAUAAAGGAAUUAAUUCUGAUUUGGAUUAUUUUGUCUCUGGUAUUCGUAGGGAUGUAGUUCUCAGCUUUGGAAGAGAUGGAAGGCAGGGAGAAAGUCAAUAUCCUCUUUCAGCAGCUUCCAGAUAGCACAGUGCCUACAAGAGAGUCAUCUACACUGUUAGGAACUAGAACUGAACAGAUAAUUAUUGUUUUUCUGUUUGGGAAAGAAAGGAAACAGAGGAAGGAAAAGUAUGUUAGAUGGAGUCUGAUAGUGCUGGCUCCUAAACUGGAAAACCAUGACCACAGGAUAUAAUCUCUUUCUUCCAUUUCUUGUUUUUUUGUACUAGAUAUGACAAGGUGAAGUCUGAAAGAAAACCAAGUGAUUUGUUACGAAUCAUUUAUUCUUCAAGUUGAUCAAGAAAGCAGUGAUUGUUACUGAUCAGGCAAUACUAUGUAAAUAAAACAAUAGGAGGCAACAUAGGAAGCUAAAUUGGCAUGGAUUGCCAGUUUACAAAGAAACACCAAGGGAAAGAACAACAACAUGAAAAAAAAAACAAUGCACAAAGCUGUACCUGGGCAGUACUGCCAGGAAAAAGACAUUGGAUCCAAAUCUGCAAUUAGAUGAACAGGGCAUGGUAAUGGUUUCAGGGUAGAAAGAUUAAAAUUGAUAGGAAGUCCUUGUGGCUGAGGUGGGAGGCUUGGUGGUUCUAUAUGGAAGCCCCAGAUACAGCCUGCAUCAGACAAAAGGAACUGAGAAAAAGUACUAAGGAAGGUUUAUAAAUUUAUUUGGAUUUCAGUAGAUUAUUUUUCUAUAUGCUGACAACCAAAAAUAAAUUUCAGGUACUGCUUUUUUUCAUUGCUACUCCUUCAUGAAAGAAGCAUGGAAGUUAAGUAAUUUCAUGAGUUAACAAAAAGAUUUUAUCCUUUCUCUUAAGAUGCUAACAAUUAAAAUAUAUGUAGCAGGAUUUUCCCUAGGGUAACUCUACAGUUCUUCAAGGUACAAGGGCAUAUUAGAGAUUACACAGUUAUUAUAAAACCAGUGUAAUGGCAACACAUGCUGUCACCUGGCAGUAUGUGUCUAAUUGAUCUUACUCAAUUACUUAAUUUUAUGACUCGCUUUAGUAAAGGUUAAGACAUUGAUGUUUUAGAAGGCUGUGCUGAAUAAUACCAUUGUUGGAGAUUACUUUCUCAUGUAAUUGCUUCAUUAAAAGCAGGUAAAUAGAGGAAGAGUCAUCCUGUCAGGAAGCACACUGAAACGGAAUAUCCUAUGUCAAAGCAACAGCAUUACUGUCUUACAUACGUAUGUUUUCUAGUGUCUCCCUUUUUGGAGUGGGAAAUACUUGCCUCUUUUUGACUUGCAUAAAUGACAGUAAACUCAAGUGAGAAACUCCUCUACAAUUUUAGCAUUUUUAAGCAUGACAGGGAACAAGAAGGAAAGGCAGCUCAGUGGGCUCUUUGUAGGCCUGUCAACAAAUAUUUGUACUUCAACAAGUAUUUUCAACUGCAAAGCCACAGUUUAUGUGUAGGUGGGAAAGGGUGCUGUGGUUCAGAAGCAAUACUCACUGCAUGCAUGUUCAAGAUAUGCAAAGGAAAAUUUAUUCCAGAGCCUUUGCUAUGGAGCAGUGUCUCUGUAUCCAGUCCUCUUCUGUUAUCCCAGUUUCCCUAAUGCAAUUUUAGUCAGACAAUCUGUGGUCAUAGGCUGAGUGAAGUAUUUAGUCCUUCACUGAAGGGACUUGUGAAGCCACAUUUAGGGAUCAGGAGGGAAAAAUGUGUCAUGUUUUUUCAUACAGCCCUGUGUUGUUACGAUGUUUCCAGUUCUUCUCUGUCAAGGUGAUGCUCAUAUACCUUCACAGGAAACUGCAUGCUGUAAAUAUCGUGGCUUUGAUAACCAUUGUUGAUGUUAUCCUAGCAGGCAAAUAUCAGUACCUUCAAGCUGUUGCCUGCUAGAACCUUCUCAUCCUUUCUUUCUGUCUUUCCCUGGACCUGCCCAGCAGCCAGCUGGAAGACACCCUUCCAGCUCCCAACACUGGGUGUGUCUGGUCUCCCAGCAGAGGAUGCUGAAGGAGUGUCAAUGGGAGCAGAUACAGUUCACCUCACAGGAGAUGGGACCAUUUCUGGGGGAGAUACAGGAGGAGAUUCAAUAGAGCUGUCUCAGUAGAGCAGUGGAGGCUCUAGAAAGGGCGGCACUGCUUCACCACCAUGUUUUUUCUCUACUCUUUUUUGUAGGCCUUUUUCUGGGGAUGCAGAAUGCCCAUGCCCUGGAUUCUUUGGUGGAGUUUUACUGUACGCAUCCUUCCCAUAUACAGCAGGAGCAGACCUAUGCAAGCUCACUCUCCAAUAAACAACAUUUAAACCAAAUGGUUUAGUUCGAUCUCUUGACUCAUUUGUCUUUCACUUAGAGCAGUGAAUCUAAUGCAACAAAUAUCAUAAUUUCCCUCCCUUUGUUUUUUUGUUUGUUUGUUUGUUUGUUUGUUUUGUCUGCUAUCCCCAUUGGAACACAUCUGCUUUCAUUGGUAGUAGUGCUACCAUGGAAGCACAUGCUGCUUCUCCACUCUGCUCCUUCAUUGAGUUCGGCCACUUCUUACUCUUCUAGAACUAAAGUAUAUGAGCUUGCAUUUGGCUACUUCAGAAGGCAUGUUAGUUGAACGAGCCCAGUUUAUCCUGGAAACUGGAUCACACUCUGUAGUGUCCAUUGUCAUCACCAUUUAUUACUUCAUCUGCGCUUUUGGCUCUGCAAAAAGAGACAAAAAAAAAACCCCAAACAAACAAACAAACAAAAAAAACCCAAAACAUUAUUUGAUUUUUUAAAUAUGUUUCCAGAUUAUUCAUAAAAUUAUUACCGGCUCUUGGGUUUUUAAGGUUUUGAUGCUAUUUUGUAAGAUCUGUAAUAUAACAUAUCUUUUUUUCCCAUGUGCCUUAUUAAUGUUAUGCAAUACUAAAUCAUUUUAGUUUGAAGGCCACAAAGUAUCAAGUUAAAUACUGUUCCUAAGUGUAUUACCUCAGCACUGUUGCAAACAUCAAUAUAUUUUUAAGUUCAGCAGAGAACAACCUGAGUUCAGCUGACGAGGCCUUUUUGCAAAACUCUUAGAGUGUUAAUCUGCUUUCAUUGACUGAACUUCAUCUUUUACAUUUUAUAAAUUAUGAGGUCAACCACGUUGUUUGAGUUCAGCUUUGGAGGAUUUCCAUUGUACGCUCAGCAAGGCAGAAAACUCCUCAGCUAGAUCUUCUACAACUACUGACUGAAAGAUAUCUGUGCUCUCCUUUUACCAUAUUUGUUUCUAAUAAAUGUGUUUUAGUAUUUAACUUGUAGACUGGCAAACUGUACAAUAUUCUGAUCAGAUAUAAAUACUUCAUCUUCUCCUUAUCAAAUACCACUAAGCAGCUAACCACUGAACACAUUUUGCAUCAUUAGCUCUCUUAUGUCAGUCUAGUACCAAGCAUUUACUGACAUUCUAACUUAUUUUCACAGAACCACAGGAGUUGCUACCACCUCUCUGGGCAGCCUUUUCCAGAGCUUCGUCACUCCAACAGUAAAGAAGUUUAUUGUGUUUAUACUUCAGGUUUCCUUCUAUUGUCUCUAGGUUUUCUAGACUUGAAUUUUCUUUGGCUUCAUUUGGGUGUUUUUUUAUUGUUGUGUUUAUGAUUGCUGCCUACUUUUAAUUAUUGACAUUCCUUCCUUUUCCAGAAAGCGCUUUUAAUAAAAGUGUUUUUUAAUAUCAAAAUAUUGUGGAACACAAUAAAUCUUCUGAUAUACAUCCUGAUUUUUGUUAAUACCAUGAUGUUUCUUGACUUUUUUUUUUCUUAAGAGAAAACAAAUCAGGCAGAUGUAGACAAUUUAUCCACAUGAGUGUAUCUCAGUGUAUGGUAACUGUUGAGUCACAACCUGAACCACUGAUUGAGCAGCUGGGGAAAGGACCAGGUCAGCCCUGGGAGCAAGAGGUGAAGGUGAUUCUCCUGUGUGACCAGAAGGCGUGGAGCCUGGCUGCACCUCUCUUAGACCCCAUUUAAGGGCUGACUGCCACUGGGGAAGGAUCUCUUUCUGGAGAUCCCUUUUUGGUGGAGUUUUGCUCUGUGAACCUGGAAUCUUCAGAUGCAAGUGAGCAAUCUUCUCUCCUUCCUUUAUAGCAUCUUUCCCAUCAUAUUGAUCCGUGCAAUUGCUACACUCAGUAAAUACAAACACAUAGGUAAUGCCCACUAAUACAUAAUUACGUGCACAUAUGAAAGAGCUUGGCUGAGCCUGUGCUCUGUCUGCCCUUGUUUGAUGUAAUUAGUUGUGACCACUUUUCUUCAGGCAAUCACAAGCUUCCAGCCUUGCAGUCAUUCCACCUCUACCCACCACACUCGGGUCUGUAUGCGUGGUACCUAUUUUGUGCUGAAAAAUUGUUGCUGGUAACUUCUGGAAACUCUAAUGCAGCUUUACCACUGUCUUCAUGACGCUUCCAUUCUUCACAAAUCAGUGAUGAUAAUGCCAGUUUUAUUUUCACAUAGCAUUGACAGGCACUUAAGGGCUUAUUAGCUUUUCUUAUUUUUUUUUUUUUUAAAUUGCUUUUAGCAUUGAUGACUAAAUGCUUUCCAUACAUUAUUCAUUUUUACAUUGCAUCAAACUGUAAAGAAGUAUGUGAUAUACUAGAAAAACUACAGUUUUGGUCCCUGAUUGAUUUUCUUUCAUAGCUUUUGUGUUUCAUUAUCUUUCAGUGAUUAAUGAUAUUUUAUAGCAUUGUAUUAUUAAUGUAGUCAUACAAAUUAAAUUUGUGUAUAACUGACAUCUAAAUCUUAACCAAGUGGCACCAAAAGCAACAUAGCAAUAGACAAGAUAAGAGUUCAGCCUUGGUAUUACCAUUUUCCUCAUGUUGCAUUUGAUGCUACAGAUAAGUAGUAACUGACAAAGAAAAUUCAUUGACUUGAUUCCAACUGACAAGAUUUCACAUAUGCUGGAACAUAUCUUGUUGCAGUUUCUGUAAAAAUGGAUACUGUUGUUUAACUUUUCUUUUAAAUUAUUUUUUGCUUUACCUAAGAUAUUCUAAGGUGUUCCUACACUUGCUUUCAUUGUUCAUCAGCAGGUAGCAUAUGAGUAAACAGAAAGCACACAGGAAAUAUUGCUAUCCUUCUGUUGUUAUUACAAAUUUGAUUUGGCGUGUUAAUAACGUGACUGUCAAAGCUGUUUAUAUUUAAAUGUUCAGUGAAGAUAAUCAUCACUAUAGAGUUUGGGCUCAGAAAAGGGUGAUAUCUUCCUCCAGAAGCAAAUCUGUGAUGGAAAUUUCCAUGCAGAUCACUUGACAGGAGAUUACAAGUUUUUCUGCAGGCCAGAUACAGACUGAGAGAUACAGAACAUGCAGAUGCUUUCAUCUUGGAGUUGCCAAAUGUACUGCAGUUCCUUUUUGCUUUCUUACUCAAAACCCACUCAAAAGUGGGUCAUACCCAAUUUUGCUUCAGUAAAAGCAUUUAAGUAACAAAAUAUGCAUUGGAUUCUGGAAAAUACAUACCGAGUCAUGCACAGAGCUCCACAGGGCUAUGUGAAGAAGGCUUCCAAAGGAGAGAUCACGUCUAGAACCCUCCUGUAGAUGGAUCACAGGCUGUUGGGCAUGUUGAAAAUGCUGUUGCGUUGGCAGACAAGCUUUGGCAAGCUGCUUCAUAGAGGCUGAAAGGAGGUUUUGCUUCCAGCUCCACUCCUCUGCUGGAAUUACUGUCUGCACAGUAAUGGGGGAAUGCAGACCUUUGACUUAGCAGCUCUGGUGCAAAGGGUAAAACAUUCACCUUUGCUAAAGGUUAAAACUGAAAUGCUUUUCUGGAAGCAUAGGUGAAUUUGCACUAAAACAUCAAACUGAGUAGAAGAAAGAGAAGCACUUGAUUCCUCCUGCUGCUCUGGUGGUUGGGAAGAUGGGAUGGAAAAGGUGAGCGGCCUUCCAUGAGGUGCAGCACAGAAGGAGGGCUAACUGGCAUUAGUCAGGGGAUGGUGAGCAAUUUCUCGUGCAUCACUUGUUAUACACAUUCAUAUAUAUAUAUAUAUAUAUAUGUCUUUGUCAUAACUAUUAUCCUUUUCCUUUUCUCUAUCUUAGUAAAUAGUUCUAUCUCAACCUGCGAGUUCUACUUCAUUUUUUUCAGUUCUCUCCCCAUCCCACUGGGAAGUGGGGGGAGUGAGCAAAAAACUGUGUGGUGCUGAGCUGCUGCUGGGUUAAAACAUAGCACUCAUGACUGUGCUUCACAAGAUCUGUCAUAAACAGGUUCUGGGUUAAAGGAAAUGGCAUAGCUUGUAGCAGCAGCAACGUAAAACCCAGAUCUUAUCCUCAGUGAAUCUGUAAAAUAUUUUGCUGCUGACUUCACUGAGGUCAGAAGUAGACUAUCAAUUUGGUAAACUUGUUUUUAACCAUCAGUCUAGAUUUUCAUCAUUAAAAACAGGGGAAGAUGUGAGCUUGGAGGGUCUACUCCAAACUAGAAAUGUAUCCCUACGACAUCCAAAACUUCAUUCCCAAAUAUUAACGGCCAAUGAAAAGAACAAAUAAAUUCACUACAAAAUAAUAAUUAUUUCAGUCCCUUUGAUUUCAUAAGCUGAAUGCUUUUAUUAGAUAGUAUAUUUGAGUAAUGCUUGAGGAAUUGUUCCAGUAGUAAAAGGAAACACAUAUUCUUCCCUAGUUACAGCUGCAAUGUUGAUAUAAGGCUUUUAACCAACGGUCAGGACAAUGUGUGAAAGUGUCAUGGUAUAAAACAUAACAAGCUGCUGCUUCUCAUUUCUUAGCUAUGUCUGAGUGAAAUGAAAGUUCAUUGGAGAACUUGUGAAUAAACUAUAGGGAAAUAUGAACCUGUAUAGGAGCUUAGAAAUGCUGCACAGAGAUUAUGACAUUGCAAAGUGCUUUUGAGUUUGUUAACGCUACACAGUAAAGCCAAACUGGUAGAAUAAUUAUCUGAUUUUUUUUUUAAUUAGAACUUGUUAGUGUUUCAUAGAUUUCAAUAUCAAUCUAGUACUAAUAUUUUGAAAUCAUAAUGCUCAAGUAGUACUUAAAGUGGAUGCUAUUUUUAGCAGUAAUUACAUUUUUCGAUAGAACUUAACUCCAUGUGACCUCUUUGUAGAGCCAAUAGUAUUUUGCUAAGUUAGCAGCUUUUUGCUAUUUUUCUUGGGGGAGAAGUAUGUUUGUUUAAAAAAAAAUCCUUAAAAAUAUUAUUUCCAGAAUGAAUAGGACAAUAAUAAUCUAAAUAUAGUUGGCUCACUUCUAAUAAUUUUUUCCUCAGAAACAGUUUCCAAGUACAACCACUGGAAAUAGGCAAAUACUAAGAGACUGAUGACAUUCCCUAAAGACUGACAGCUUUUCUUAUUUAUAUAUUUAUAUUACAUAUUUUUACAAAACAUAUGUACAUAUAUACAUGCACAUAUAUUUAUAUUUUUAUAUAUAUUCAUAUAUAUACAUAUGCUGAAAGUUCACUUUUUUUGUCCUUUUCAUCCUCUUUUAG